CCCAGACUCCUACGGGAGGCAGCAGUAGGGAAUCUUCCGCAAUGGGCGAAAGCCUGACGGAGCAACGCCGCGUGAGUGAUGAAGGUCUUCGGAUCGUAAAACUCUGUUAUUAGGGAAGAACAUAUGUGUAAGUAACUGUGCACAUCUUGACGGUACCUAAUCAGAAAGCCACGGCUAACUACGUGCCAGCAGCCGCGGUAAUACGGAGGGUGCGAGCGUUAAUCGGAAUUACUGGGCGUAAAGCGCUCGUAGGCGGUAUGUCAAGUCAAGGGUGAAAUCCCCGCGCUCAACGUGGGAACUGCCUUUGAAACUGGCAAACUGGAGUGUGUGAGAGGAUAGUGGAAUUCCAGGUGUAGGAGUGAAAUCCGUAGAUAUCUGGAGGAGCAUCAGUGGCGAAGGCGACUAUCUGGCACAUAACUGACACUGAGGAGCGAAAGCGUGGGUAGCAAACAGGAUUAGAUACCCCAGUAC
rnacentral:rRNA from 1 species